rnacentral:misc_RNA from 1 species
AAUAAACCUAUCUAGCAAAUCUAAAACUAGAAGUCCUUGUGAAAUAUGAAAAACAUAAGUCUUCGGGUCUAGUUUUGAUUUGUGCACUACGUCAUUUACCCAUACUUUCAAGAAAAUUCAACCUUGAAUUUUAAAGUGUUGAAGAGUAAAAAACUCUAUUGAAAGAUCACACCAUGUCUCUUUCUUGAAUGGUAUCAGUAAAGUUGACUUGAACAAAAUUGAAUUAAAGAACUUCACAUUGUCAUUUGCAUCUAUUGGAACAUAUGGAUAAAUAAAUUCAAUUAAGACAAUAGGAAUUAAAGGGUUCUUCAAUUUUAAAUCCUUAAAGCUUAGGAUCUUCAACUUCAGGUUGUUUUACUGAUUCAAGUUGACCUCUUUGUUUAGCUUGUGCUCUCCUAGGAUUUAAAAGACAGGUUCAUUGUUGAAUCUAUCGUUGCUAUCUCCUCUAGCCUGAUCCAAUACAUUGUUCCUAUUUUCUUAGUCACCAACUCCCAAUAAAGUUCACAUUAGCUUUUGAAUCUUUAGCAGUUGCUUCUCAAUAUUGCGAUUAGAUGUUCAAUGUUCAUUAAUGACUCUCCAAAGAGCUUAAAACUCUUGAUCAUUGUCACAAGGUUGGUUGCCACUACUACUAUUAGUAUUGGCCAUUUUAAUGAGGUUGAAAUCCCUGUUGUGAUAUCACAUGACAUAGUGUGUAGCGCGAAAAAGUAUCAACA